AUUGAACGCUAGCGGGAUGCUUUACACAUGCAAGUCGAACGGCAGCGCGGACUUCGGUCUGGCAGCGAGUGGCGAAUGGGUGAGUAAUGUAUCGGAACGUGCCCAGUAGCGGGGGAUAACUACGCGAAAGCGUAGCUAAUACCGCAUACGCCCUACGGGGGAAAGCAGGGGAUCGUAAGACCUUGCACUAUUGGAGCGGCCGAUAUCGGAUUAGCUAGUUGGUGAGGUAACGGCUCACCAAGGCGACGAUCCGUAGCUGGUUUGAGAGGACGACCAGCCACACUGGGACUGAGACACGGCCCAGACUCCUACGGGAGGCAGCAGUGGGGAAUUUUGGACAAUGGGGGCAACCCUGAUCCAGCCAUCCCGCGUGUGCGAUGAAGGCCUUCGGGUUGUAAAGCACUUUUGGCAGGAAAGAAACGUCGCGGGCUAAUACCCCGUGGAACUGACGGUACCUGCAGAAUAAGCACCGGCUAACUACGUG
rnacentral:rRNA from 1 species